CACUGUUCUAGCAUUUAUUUUUCUUUGAAAAGGAGCACAGUGUACCGAGAGACAUGUCCUCCAGAUGGAGCAGCCUCUCCUCUGCUCAGGGGAGGGAGUUAACUGACACAGAAGAACUCUGCCACCGAGCUGCACAUGGCUAUGAGCAAAUGCCACAUGGCCUGGCAGUCCACACACAGGACAGCAACACUGUCCAGCAGGCUUGAACCAGAGGACGAGGAGCACCUCCUGGGUGCAUGGCCAGGCCAUCCAUCUGUAGUGCAAGCCUGGUGCUGCAGCCAGGGAGUUGCGAUACAGGCACAGCCACAAACCAUGAGCUCCACAGGACACAGACGGGAGGUGCUGGUGACUCUGAUGCCGCCACCCUCAGAUCAGAGUCCAAUAUGGUGGAAUGCGAGCCAUGCAGACUGCGCAGGUUCCAGAGUGGGGGCUGUAGGGACCUUGAGUGGGACACGAUUCCCUGCAGCUCCCCUCAGCAGCACCCACUCUGCAGCAGACGCUCUGCAGCAGCCAAUGGCCCGAGGCUGAAGUGAAGGCCCUCGUGUGGGCGGAUCCCCUGCUGCAGCUGGGCAGCAGCGACUCUGGAAGACAGGGAGCUGAUGACGGGGCUUGUGCUCUUCCUACAUCUCAGGUGCUGACAACAGCUGUGUGUCUGCGCCAAUCCCAGAGCCGCAUCUCAGGUACGGAGUAGAAGGCCCCAGCCUGGGUUCCCUGGGCCUCUUGGCCCCAACUCCACUGUCCUCUGCUUGAGAUGCCAGACGUGCGGCCCAGGUAUGGACAGAGGGACGACAUAGGAGCCAAGCCAAUCGGAGCAGCACGUGGCUCCAGCGUAUCCUCGCCACCCUGGCAUCUUCAUUUCCUGACCAAACACACAGAGGCUGCCCUCCUCCACCCCUGCCUCCAGCGGCGACUGGACAGGUGCAGGCCCACAGCACUCAGCCUCACCCCUGACCCAGGGUAACUGCACUGACAGGGGAAGCCACUGAACGGGGGGAGACAAGCAUGCCCUCCAGAGUCCCGCUCCGUCACCACAAGUGAACCCUCCAGGUCCUCAGGCACACCAUGGGACGGUGCACUCACUUGGAGCUGGAGGGUGAGCAAGUUGCAUGCCCUCCAGGGCCUCCAGGAACCUCUGCCCACCAAACUGUAAAUUUAAAGUCUCAAAAAAACAGUAAAAACAUCACAAAUAUCCCUUUAAGAACACUGGUGCUGAGAAAAGGGAAACAAUUCAAUCUAGCCAAGAUGCGUGGUUUUGCCAAUAGAGUCUUAAAGACACAAAUGUUUCUAACUUCUAGAUUUAAAAUCCUGCCCCAAGAAAACUGUCCUAUAGGUGCUGCAGCAAACCCACAUGGACACCGUGGACACUGUGCUCUUCCUCCCAGGGGCCCAGGGAUUGUGCUGGGGCACGGCACCUCUGAGGGUGCACGCCUCAGCCACGGGUCAGCCUCACCACAAGCACCACAGUGCUGCUGCUCUCAGUGAACCAGAGACGAAGAUUAGCCACAGAGCAGCGGCAUUCCAAUAAAAUUUCAAAAAAUUUUCCAUUUUCAUCCAAACUUCUAAUUUCCCUUUAAUUUGUAGAUUUAACCACAGAACUGUCUUGAUUUCUAUGGAAAGUGAUCCCAGGACCCACA